AUUACUUUUUUUUUUUUUUUAUUUUAGAAAAAAAAUUUACGGACUCUUUAAUUUGUUAUUAAAAGGUUAAUAAAAUAAAAAAAAAAACAUUAAGAAAAAUGCGUUAAUUGUGGUGAAAUAGCUUUGUGUUAGUAUUUAUGCAGGCGAGCAUAUAUACAAGUACAAUUACGUGCAAAAAUAUAUGCAUAUAUAUAUAUAUAUAUAUAUAUAUAUAUAUAUGUGUAUGUAUAUAUGCAUGUAUAUACAGCUACAAACAUGAUUCACCACCAUUUUGGUAAACAAAACUCAAUAAAAUGUUAUUUAAGUACAAAUGUACUAAUGUAUAAAUGUGGUACCCCCCGAUUUAUUUUUUUAAAUAAUGCCAGAAUCAGAAGUUAUCAUAAUUUAAAAAAUGGAACAACAUCAACAAAUUUUUAUGUAUAUAAUUAUAUGAACAGCAAAAAAAGAGAAAUAUCCAAUGUGAUACACAAUUAUAAUUUUAAAUGGUUUAAAACAUUAUUUACACAAAAGCAAAAAAAAAUGCCAGAACCGAAUUUAGAACCGAAACCAGAAUCGACUUAUCAAAAUAGCAAACAAUCACAAACCAGAACUAUGCAUUACCCAAACAACAAGAAAUUUCCAUAUUUUACAGUUGGCAUAGUUUUAGGUAUGAUUGGGGUUACUUCUUUUUUUAAGCUUCUCAUUUACAAUUUAAAAUAUUGUGAUAAUGAAGAUGAAAUAAUAUUACAAGUAGAUAAAAUUUUAAAUUAUUUGGAUAGAUAUUUUAUUCUGUGUAAUUCUGAAGAUAAUAACAAUUGCAUAGAUAAUACUUUGAAUAAAAAUACCCUUAUAAACUUAAAUAACAUAUUUAAUAUAAAAUGUUUAACUUCUCCAUUUUUUAUUGAUGAAAAUCCAUUAAAAAGCUUAGUUCAGUUAUCUACUUUUUUUUUAGCAUCUUGUUUUCUUGAAAAACAAUAUGGAUCCUUAAUAUAUUCUGGUUUAUUUUUAAGUGGUACUUUAUUUUCUAAUAUUAUUACUUUUUAUUUUUUAAAAUAUCUUAAAAAAAUGGAAUCUUAUAAUUCUGUACAAUUUGUACUUAUACACCCUUCAGGUUCAAUGGCUUUUAUUUGUGCUUUAUGUUCUAUGUAUUUCAAAAACAGUGUCAUUUGGAAAAAUAUACCAAUACAUUGUUCUAUAUUUAUAGUACCGUUUUUAUUUUCUAGUUUUUAUGGACUUUUAUCAUUGUAUAAAAUUAAAAAAAAAUAUAUGUUUACAACUGAUCAGAAUGAAAAUAAUAAAAUUAGUGUAUGUGAAAAAAAACUGUCAGAUGAUUCGAAAUUUAUUCCUAAAAAAAAUGACAUAAUAAAUAAUAUAACAGAUAAUAAUGAAAAAGAACAAAGAAAAAACAUAUAUGAUAAAAACGAUUCAAAUGGUAAUAGUAAUAAUGAUAGUUAUAUUAGUAAUAAUAUACAUAAUAAUAACAAUUUUAUCCAGUACAAUCAAAAUAAAGCAUUAAAUACACUAAAGAACUUCUUAAUAGUCGAAGCUUGUGAUUCC
rnacentral:lncRNA from 1 species